GUGUCGGUAGUGUAGCGGAACAGCACGCGCCUCGGAUGGAGUAAAAUAUGGGUUUGAAUCCCACCUGAUGCA